UCAUCAUCCAUCCUCUGAAAGACAGCAGGUUGCCAGACGAUCAUUGGGUGAGCUAGUCAGCAAACUUGGUGAAUGUGUGCUCCCCUUGAUAAUCCCAAUGUUAUCCCAGGGCUUGAGUGACCCUAACAGCAGCAGAAGACAGUUUGCUUGAGGUUCGUGAAUCAGCUGGCUUGCAUUCUACACUCUUUUAUAAGGAGGAUGAUGAAACUUCCGAUACUACACUUGAUGGCCUUAAAUAAAUUCUAAGGUCCUGGCCUUAACUUUCAUCUUGGUCCUGUGCUUCCUCCUUUGCUAUCAACAAUGGGCGAUGAAGACAAGGAGAUUCAAACUUCAGCUAAGGAACAGUGGUUUUGGUCAUUGAUGAGGAAGGUGUAGAGUCACUCAUAUAAGAGCUUGUGAAAGGUGUUAAUGACGCAGAUAUAUUUGUUGAAAUUGGAAUGGGUCAAAUGGAUCACUAUGGAAUGAUUUUGAAGCAGCCAUGCUGAAAGAUACUUCUGCUUAUUAUUCUCUAAAGGCUUCAAAUUGGAUCCUAGAAGAUUCUUGUUCUGAUUAUAUGCUGAAGGCCGAGGAAUGCUUAAAACGAGAGAAAGAUAGGGUUGCUUAUUACUAGCAAUCCAGUAAUAAGCCAAAGCUGUUUUGGUCUUCACACAAGAACAAUUUUCUUGUUCUUCAAAUCUCAAAUUUUGACUUUUUCUUUGACUAUGGCUUUAAUGAUGUGUAUGUUGUAUUUUUCAAAAAAUAAAUUUUAUUUUUUUGUUGACAAAUGUGAUGGAAG